CCUACGGGUGGCUGCAGUGAGGAAUAUUGGUCAAUGGGCGCGAGCCUGAACCAGCAAAGUAGCGUGAAGGAUGAAUGCCCUACGGGUUGUAAACUUCUUUUAUAAAGGAAUAAAGUGAGGCACGUGUGCCUUUUUGUAUGUACUUUAUGAAUAAGGAUCGGCUAACUCCUGGCCAGCAUCCGCGGUAAGACGGCGGAUACGAGGGUUAUCCGGAUUGAUUGGGUUUAAAGGGAGCGUAGAUGGGUUGUUAAGUCAGUUGUGAAAGUUUGCGGCUCAACCGUAAAAUUGCAAUUGAUACUGGCAGCCUUGAGUACAGUUGAGGUAGGCGGAAUUCGAGGUGUAGCGGUGAAAUGCUUAGAUAUCACGAAGAACUCCGAUUGCGAAGGCAGCUUACUAAACUGCCACUGACAUUGAUGCUCGAAAGUGUGGGUAUCAAACAGGAUUAGAUACCCUAGUAGUC
rnacentral:rRNA from 1 species